GGGCGCAAGCUGAUCCAGCCAUGCCGCGUGAGUGAAGAAGGCCUUAGGGUUGUAAAGCUCUUUUACCAGGGACGAUAAUGACGGUACCUGGAGAAUAAGCCCCGGCAAACUUCGUGCCAGCAGCCGCGGUAAUACGAAGGGGGCUAGCGUUGUUCGGAAUUACUGGGCGUAAAGCGCACGUAGGCGGGUCGUUAAGUCAG
rnacentral:rRNA from 1 species